AUACCCGUCCUGAAGCGGGCAUCUGACGGGGGUGAAACAGGAUCGACGAGGGCGUAAAGGAUUGUCUUUCACCCGGCAUGGCACCGCCGUUAUCGGGCUAAAACUUUAGUUGCAAACGACAACUAUGCUCCGGUUGCUGUUGCUGCGUAAGCGGUAACAAACACCGAAAUUGAAGCCCAGCGCCUUAAGCAGGCUCUGGCGGGGUUCGCAGGCACCUGGCAACAGAAGCCUGCAUU
rnacentral:tmRNA from 1 species